GCUGUCCAGGUCACAGAAUUAUCGUUGUGAAAUAUUCAUGGACCUUCGGUCCAGAUGCUAUUUCAGAACAGCGAGAGAGAGCCUCAGGAAGGAGCCUAGAGCAAUGCUGCUCCCCACUGGCCCCCACCGCAGCCACUGGCAGCCCAGACAGAACAAGGGACGCCCAUCACGUGCACACUCACACCCUUCAGCUCACGCGCACACACACACACACACACACGCACACAUGCAUACGUGCACACACAAAAUGGAGCUUUGUGGCACGUGCAAGCACACCAGCCACCCAUGGGUCCCACAAACAGGCAGAUGCACCCCAUACAUGGACGUGUACCCACACCCUCUCACCCAGGACCCCACUCCCAGCAAUCUCACAAGCUCUGGUCCCCAGUCUCCCCAAACAACGCAGAUUGACAGCUCUGAGUACCACACUCCAGAAUAGACAAGACGGGCAAAGGCAUGUUUUCCAGCCCCCUCCAAUGUCCGGAUGAGGAAACUGAGUCCAGAGUGUUCGGGAAUGGACCUGUCCGUGACUCUCCUAACUCCCGAAAGAAACAAAAGGCCAUUCACCUCCCACAUCCCUUCCCAAGUCCCCCUCCUGGCCCCUGGCCACGCUCUUCUUCCGUGCCACCUCCUGCUGACGGCGGCUCCUCGUUACCUCGUGCCUGGAAUGUAGAAGAAAAUGGCGGCCAUCUCUACUCUGCUUUCUCUGCUCUCGGUCUCCCUGACUCCCACCCAGCCUACCCACGGCGACCAGACUCAUCUGGCCACACUGCGGAUCUCCUUACUGGGUCACUCGGCAACCUAUGGUGGCUCCCCACUGCCUUCAGAUUCAAAGUAAAACACUUUACCCAGGCA